rnacentral:rRNA from 1 species
GUAUCCAAAUGCCUCGUCAUCCAAUUAGUGACGCGCAUGAAUGGAUUAACGAGAUCCCCGCUGUCCCUACCUACUAUCUAGCGAAACCGCAGCCAAGGGAACGGACUUGGAAAAAUUGGCGGGGAAAGAAGACCCUCUUGAGCUUGACUUUAGUCUGAAUUUGUAAAGAGACAUGAGAGGUGUAGCAUAGGUGGGAGGGGGGUCAAACCCCCGACAAUGAAAUACCACCACUCUCACUGUUUCUUUACUAACUUGGUCACACGAAGAACUCUCGUCCUAUGGAUGGAGAGUAUUCUAGCGUUAACCGGUGGGCCUCUGCGCCUGCCGGGAUUCGCUCCGAGGACAUUUUCAGGUGGAAAGUUUGACUGGGGCGGUACAUCUGUCAAAUGGUAACGCAGGUGUCCUAAGGCCGGCUCAGCGAGGACAGAAACCUCGCGUAGAGCAAAGGGGCAAAUGCUGGCUUGAUCUUGAUUUUCAGUACGAAUACAGACCUCGAAAGAGUGGCCCCUCGAUCCUUUUGCUUUUACGAGUUUUAAGUAAGAGGUGUCAGAAUAGUUACCACAGGGAUAACUGGCUUGUGGCGGAUGAGCGUUCAUAGCGACUUCGCUUUUUGAUCCUUCGAUGUCGGCUCUUCCUAUCAUUGUG